GAUGAACGCUGGCGGCGUGCCUAAUACAUGCAAGUCGAGCGAACAGACGAGGAGCUUGCUCCUCUGACGUUAGCGGCGGACGGGUGAGUAACACGUGGAUAACCUACCUAUAAGACUGGGAUAACUUCGGGAAACCGGAGCUAAUACCGGAUAAUAUAUUGAACCGCAUGGUUCAAUAGUGAAAGACGGUUUUGCUGUCACUUAUAGAUGGAUCCGCGCCGCAUUAGCUAGUUGGUAAGGUAACGGCUUACCAAGGCAACGAUGCGUAGCCGACCUGAGAGGAUGAACGGCCACACUGGAACUGAGACACGGUCCAGACUCCUACGGGAGGCAGCAGUAGGGAAUCUUCCGCAAUGGGCGAAAGCCUGACGGAGCAACGCCGCGUGAGUGAUGAAAGUCUUCGGAUCGUAAAACUCUGUUAUUAGGGAAGAACAAAUGUGUAAGUAACUAUGCACGUCUUGACGGUACCUAAUCAGAAAGCCACGGCUAACUACGUG
rnacentral:rRNA from 1 species